rnacentral:snRNA from 2 species
ACAGGCACAGGGGUUACCGUGAUCAGCAAGGCGGUUCCCCCAGGGCGAGGCUCGGCCAUUGCACUUCUGGGUCUGGUUGACCCCUGCGAAUAUCCCUCAUGUGGAUAUCUCGUGUGUGUUAUUUUUGGUAGCCGGGACGUGCGUACGCACACAUCCCGA